rnacentral:lncRNA from 1 species
CUACUAUGUCUACUCAGUCCUGCUGUCUAGACUCUAUACUGAAUUAUAUGUUCACAGCCCAAGGGCCUGACUGAGUGAGCAAGCUGCUCUAAUGUCCCCAGUGGUGCUUUGCAGACAAAGCUAAAUUUCUAGACCGCUAUUGGGCUAGCUGCAGUGAUGUCACAGAGGAGCCUGGACCUGGGAAUUGAAAUACGAGGAUAAACUGAGAGGGAAUGUCUUGGCAUUGGAAUUUCAAGUCCACGGGCUAAUUUUAGUGCCAAUAAACCCUUUCACCUUUGCCUGUAUGAUGUAGGCUUCCAGAGGACACCUCAGUGGUGCAAAUCAACUGAAGGGAGUAUACGGUGCCCAGAAUGUGACCUCAUAAUGCAUUCUGCCAGACAAAUUCCAGUAAUGUAUAUAGGAGUGACAGAGGUUCCUCAAAUGCUCUGAGAGGGGCCAGGGCAGGCUAUGAAGCUUUCAAAGUGGGCAUCGCCUCUCCAUUUCACAGCUUCUCAUUCCUUCCCCUCCCCACUAAUCCCAGAAGUGCUUACAUUGGAUGCCCCGGGAUAGCCCCCCUUGUGAACCUGGCUAGGUUGCUUGAAUCCUGGGGGUGGGGAGAUAGGGGGGCCAGUAAUGAAAUCCACACGUUCUUCCCCAAUUCCUCCUUACUUUUUAUCAAAUCACCCACCCACCCCCUGAACCCUCCUUAAAGUAGCUAAGGGACAGAAGCUUACAAAGAACGGCAUACAAACCCCGUCUCUCCCAUCAUGAAAGGAAUCGGAAGGAAUAUUGUUUGUUGUGAACUGUUUCCGAAAUCUUUUCUUGACAGAACAUACAUGAGUUGAGUGGAAGAAGACUCAUGGCGGCAUGAGACACCCACCGCAGGUAGCUUAUUUUGGAUGUCAUGGAUUAUCGGCAAAUGACUGGUUAUUUAAGUUAUUGUUAUUUUAAUUUUCUUUCCAGGGUCAGGGGAGAGAGUUGCUUGUGGGGUUUUCUGCCUCAAAUUCCAAAAUACCUUUAUCAACUUUCGGUACUAUGCGUCUUGAUUUGGUGUGUUCUUUUGCCAUUUACUCAUCUGUAGCCCUCGGGGAGAAAAUGUCUUGCACAGGCCCUAACCAUAACCAAAUUUACAUGUGUGUGUGUGUGUGUGUGUGUGUGUGUAAAGUCAUUUGCCCACAUUCUUCUCUUUUUUUUUUUUGAAAAAAAUGAUAUUUAUUAGAAGUUUAAAAAUUACAGAAAAAAGAAAAAACAGAAACCAACAAAAAAAUUGACAAAACAUACAUUACAAUACAUAAAAGGAAAAGCAUAAAAAACAAUACAACAAUACAGCAAUAAAAAAACAAUAACAUUAAAACACACAUCCAAUGUUCCAUAUCUUUAUCUUUCAUUUACUUGUUUCAUCGACCUCCUCACACCUCCCUUUCUGUAUUCUAAUUUAAUUAAUUGUUUCAGCAAAUUCUUUCCAUCUUUCUCAAUUUUUGUUAUAUAAUUUAUCUUAACGAUCUAACCUUUUAAUUAACUCAACAAAUCCUUUCCAUCUUUCACUAUAUUCUGUCAUUCAAUUUACCUUAAUUUAUUUAACCUUAUCUUACCAUAAAAAAAACCUUAAAACUUAAAACUUAAUACUUAUUUGUACAUAACUCCUUAUAUCAUUUCUACUAAAGCCAAAUAGUUUCAUUCCAACAUUUUUCCUAAUACUCAUUAAUUUUACACUAAUUCUCAAAAUAUUUUUUUAAAAAAACUUUCUUCCAAUCUUCAUCCAACGUCUCUUCUUCCUGGUCUCGGGUUUUGUCAGUCCUUCUUGUCCAUUCCAUCUAGUCCAUCAACCUGGUGAUCUUAUGUCCGAGGCUCUUAAGUCUUUUCCAUGUCCCUUCUGCAGAUCUUCUUCUUGUUUAUACCUGCACUUUACUUUGUCUUUUGUUGAUCUUUUUCUUAAUUUCUUUCCUUUCUCAUUGGGGGGUAGGUCUCGGGAGGACUCCAAUCCAAAAAUAUCUCCAUCUCCCCUCGGCAAAUCAGCCCAUUCCCUACAGUCCCAUUCCCCACAGUCAACACUGUAGUCCAGGAGGUAUUUAAAAGCAUGUUUCAAGGUCCUUCCAAAAUUAAGAGCCCUCACAACUCCAGACCCCCCCCUGGUCCAUUCCAGAUUCAAACUUCAAGAACAGCGGCUUAUGCUCCUGCAAGGCCUCGGAUCUCUCCAUUUGUGUUACUUGAGGUUCAACAGCAACCUCCUCCGUUAUCUUCUGCACUUGCCCUGUCAAAACAAGUUCCUGGGCUGGUUCCUGAAUGGUUUCUAUAUGAGUAUUCGCCAUUUGUCCAAAGUUUUUAACUGCAACAGUCAUCAAAUCCAUCUUCUCAUGCAUCUGCUCCAGCAAAGCGCUUGUCUUACAAAAAGCAAGCACCAAAACUUCUUCUAAACACAUUUUUAUUCAAGGUCAGAGUCUGGUCUCACGAUCCUAAUCUUACAGCUGUGAAAUCCCCAGAUCGACUCCAGCAAGAAAUUAACAAGCUUGUCUAGAGGAGACAAUUUCUAUUUGUAUCCAUCUUUUGAAAGCAGGACCAACAAAAGAAAAUUACUUUCAUUUUUCAAAUAUUUUGUUUCUUUUGAAUGCAAGAGGCAACACUGGAAUCAAUUUGUUUCUCUUUUUUUACUAUCUGUCAAAAGACGUUCCAUUCACAGUCGAUGGACUUCCCCAUAAAUUUCUGUCUCUGACACCCCGUUCCCAGGUUUGAGACGGUGGAAAUUUAUCUUUCUUUAUUCUCUCUCCUGCAGGCUUAAACAGUCAAUAAUUCCCCCCCUUUUUUCCUGCUUCCAAGAGGGGUUUUGGUGGUAAUAACUGAAGGAAAUUUAGACCUUUAUAUACGACUUUCCAGACUUUAUCUUACAAAGUUUUUGCUUCAAUCUAUUUACAAAACCGGAAGGCGGACAUCCUGUUUAGAGCCUUCCCACUUCAGUGCCAAAUUAAAAUGUUUCUUAAUCCAAUUUUCCGUUCUACUCACGGGUACUUAUUUAGAGUCCAAUUGUCCACAGGAAAAAGUCAGUGCUCUCCGGCAACGGCUGUGCGGCUUCACUCCGUAAAAGUAGCGGUUGAUUCAAAACACCGUGCCACUCACCCCACGUCGCUUCGGAUCCCCAAAAAAGGGUUUCCCUGCGAGUAGGGGAGGCGCUCCUGGUGUCAGCCGAAUCCCACGUUCCCAGGCUUCCUCUGCCUGGGAUUUUUAGGGGGUCUCCGCCUUCGCCGCGGCGGCAAGACCCAAUUUUCACGGAGCGGGUUCCUCUCAGUCAGAGGAACUCCGCCAUUGCCGAUGGCGCUAACCCGGAAGUCCUCCAUUUGCCCACAUUCUUCUCUCCCUACCUUGUCUGCCCCUCCAUCCCUGUGUUGUUUCUGCACUAUGUCACAUCCACAGCAUACAUUUAAAGGACAUUUAUAUCACUUUAACAGUCAGGGCUUCUGCCCAAAGAAUCAUGGGAACUGUAGUUUACCCCCUCACAGAGCUAUAAUUCCCAGCACGCUUAACAGACUACAUUCCCCAGGAUUCUUUGAGGGAAGCCAUGUGCUUUAAAUGUAAUGCUGUGGAUGUGACCUUAGAGACUAUAAGCUCCAUGGCAGCUGGGCCCUAUCUGUUUAACUCCAUGUUGCCAUGCCAACUGAGGCCCAGCAUGAGCACCAAGCACCCAAGGGGCAACUGUCGAAGCUCAAAAGGACCGCAGGGACCACUGGCAUUGACACUUGUUUUGGGUUCCCUACAUCAGGUAGCUGGGAGUUGCCAUUUUAAUUUCUGCAUUGCUUUGUGGACAUUGUGGAAAUGAAAAUGGUGGCUCCUGAAUCAAAGUGUCACCGCCACCACUGCCUAUAGGAGGCCCACUGAUAUGUGAGGCAGCCCAUCAGUAGUAACAGUAGUUGUCGUUGUCAUAGUAAAUAAGUAGUUCAUCAGAUCCAAAUAUUGAGUUUACCUUGGUGUGGUUUUAUUUAUUUAGUUUACCUAGGGUUGCCAUAUUUCAAAAAGUGAAAAUCCGGACACAAAAGUUGUUGAGAGCUCUAUUUUUUGGCAAAUUUUGGGGCUUUUUUUUUUUUUUUAAAUCCGCCAAAAUCUACACUUCCGAUAUGGGUUGCCAUACAUCCAGAUUUUCCCAGACACUGUUUCUGAUGGCCGAAUCCAAGCUACUGGUAUGUCCAGGAAAUUCCAGACAUGUGGCAGCCCUAGUUUACCGCCCUUUAUCUGUAGAUCUCAGGGAAGUUCACAACAUUACUAGGAGCCACCACAAACAGUCCAAAUGAGACUUCUCCUCUCUUCCGAUGCACCCUUUAUCAAAACAGAGACAUUUACUGACAAGUGCCCAAGUUGUGGGACAGCUUUGGGGCCCAAAUGCAAGGGAAACCCCAACAAAAGACUUAACUGGGACAAAUUCAGCAAAAUCUCUACAAAAUCUCUAAGAAAGGAAAAGAGCAGCUGAAAUCCCUCCCUCACCCACCCAAAGGGAGGGAGAACUUCAGGCUACAGAGAUAGCACCUGUUAACUAACGCACCAUGCUCAAUACAUUGACACCCAUAAAUGCCAUGCGCUUCUCCUCCAGGUACAAUUAGGUGUGGGAAAUUAAGCUUCCUACUCACCCCAAGCUGCCCCAGAACAAACAGAGCCUAGUUUAAACAUUCAGUUUUGAUGCUGGAGGAAUUAUCUUUGCAAAGAGUACAGACAGACAGACAUCAGUUCCCCACCCCAAGUGCGUUGAGCAGUGCAGCUGCCCCUUCUAGGCUGUAUCCCACAACCAAAAUAUAAAAUAAAAUAAUGUAGCAGUGCUCUUGGUAAUAAGUAACAGUGAAAUGUUCUGAUUGGUGAUCUAGUGUAAGCUUGGGGGAAUGUAUCCCAGUGGGAGACCUUGUCAAGUCUGUACGUCUCUGAUACCCUUCAUUAGUGACCUCGAAGGGGAGUCAGCCUCAUGCCAAUGGAAUUCACAGUGACACUGAGACUCUGUGACAGCGUGCAUAUGGAAAUCCAGAGGGGAAAGAGGCCAGUUGGGUUCAUAAGGCGGUGUUUUUCCAGGGUAGACCCUUGAAAGAAUGGAGCCAUAUUUACCGCAAGCCUUCAGGCCAAGAUGUCAGGAAAGCAGGGGGUGGUGCAGAAGUGGCCUUGUUGGGGAAAAUAAUAAUUUAAUAAACCUGCAUUUUGAUCAUUCCAUUUUCUUUUGAGUCUAUGGCCUAGCUGAACUGAAAGGGCCUGUACCUGCCGUUUUACAGCACAGAAGUAGCUGCUUUUAGGUACUGUGCAUAGUGAAUGUCUAUUCCAGAAUGCUGAAAAGAAUAAUCCGUUAGACUCUGUGAAGUUGCCAUUGUAUGCAUGAAAAGAAAAUCAGCUAGGCAAGGCAAUUGUGAUUCAUCUUGAAUUGUUUUGUAGACUGAUGAAAUAGGACAUUAGAAGGCAUUUAAUGAGCAUUUGAGGGUUAACAGCAAUAGAUUUUGCUAAGUGUUCAAUCAAUCAAUCAAUCUUCUUUAUUGGCAUAGUAAGAGUACGUCGUAUACAUGGAUUGGAACACAGAUAACAAAACAUAGAAGGAGGUAAGACUGUCCAGACGUCGGGAGAUACAAAGGUGAUUCUUACGAUCUAUGGAGGACGUAAUUUCAUGGCGUCACUCAAAAAUAUUGCCACAUUCUCCACAAUGUCAUCCUUACCAUUAUUCAACAGGUAGGUCACCCUGGAAGAAUCAGUGCGAUAGAUCCCCUCCUCCUUCAAUAAGGGUGGCCCAAAUACUUAAAAUAUACAUUUGCAUUAAAUGGGCAGUGAAAUAAAACGUGGUGGAUUUGACCUGUUUUGUGCCAUCUUAAAUCAAGGUGGGAAAUCUGUGGCCCUCCAGAUGUUGCUAGAUGACAACAUUCAUCCUUCUUGACCACUGAUCGUGCUGACGGGAAUUGGGAGGGCACCAUCUUCCCCACCCCAUAUUAAAUCAAACUUUACAUUUUUACAUUUCAUCCAAGCAAAGUCAUUAUAACAAGGAGAGGUCUUCUGCCUAGCUUUGGUGGAGAAACCCUUUUGCUUAAAUCUCUCUGUGUGUGUGUCAUCAUCCCCCACACUCCCUAGAGCAAGAGUUCAGAGGGUCAGGCCACUUCUGUGUGCAGGAAGGCAUUGCUGAGAUUUUCAAAGCAGAAGCCAAUGAUCAGUGAUCAUUUUCUCUUGUUUUCAUGCAGCUGUCUCUCAGGAAUGCAAUCUUUUACAGUGGAAUUUGGCAUCCCUGAGAUCCAGAAGAGAGGAAACCAGCAAGUACUUCUGCCAGAUGGGCUGGAAUGCACAGUGGGUGGGGGGAGAAACUAGG